AUGCUCACUUUGGCAGCACAUAUACUAAAAUUAGAAUGAUACAGAGAAGACUUGCAUAGCCCCUGUGCAAGGAUGACACCCAAAAUUGUGAAGUGCUCCAUAUUUUU